ACCGCGUAAUAACUCCGAGGGGCAUCUCUUGGGGUUUAAAGGGUAACACCGGCUACGGAUGGCCAUGCGGCGCAUUAGCUAGUUGGCGGGGUAACGGCCCACCAAGGCGACGAUGCGUAGGGGUUCUGAGAGGAAGGUCCCCCACACUGGUACUGAGACACGGACCAGACUCCUACGGGAGGCAGCAGUGAGGAAUAUUGGUCAAUGGGCGCGAGCCUGAACCAGCCAAGUCGCGUGAGGGAAGACGGUCCUAUGGAUUGUAAACCUCUUUUGUCGGGGAGCAAAAGACGCCACGCGUGGCGUUCCGAGAGUACCCGAAGAAAAAGCAUCGGCUAACUCCGUGCCAGCAGCCGCGGUAAUACGGAGGAUGCGAGCGUUAUCCGGAUUUAUUGGGUUUAAAGGGUGCGCAGGCGGAAGAUCAAGUCAGCGGUAAAAUUGAGAGGCUCAACCUCUUCGAGCCGUUGAAACUGGUUUUCUUGAGUGAGCGAGAAGUAUGCGGAAUGCGUGGUGUAGCGGUGAAAUGCAUAGAUAUCACGCAGAACUCCGAUUGCGAAGGCAGCAUACCGGCGCUCAACUGACGCUCAUGCACGAAAGUGUGGGUAUCGAACAGGAUUAGAUACCCUGGUAGUCCACACAGUAAACGAU
rnacentral:rRNA from 1 species